CUGGAACAGAUGUGCUGCCAGCUGCUCAGAAGGCAGAGAGGUGGCCACGUGGGCUGACAGCAGCUAAAAUGGCAAUGUUUCAGUGGCAAUGUAAGCGGUGGUGGGUGUUUUCCUACAUGUCACCCCUAUAUUUCCAUAGGCUACUAAACGCUCUUAGCUAGCUCCUCCGUAAAACAAACAAAUCAUUCAUAUGAUGUAUGACCAGAGAUCAACAGCCAAAUAUAGUCACUGCCCAGUGGGACAGCUCGGGGACAGGGCAAGACAUCCUGUGAUUCUAGGAAAGCAGAAGCAAAAGGGAAAGAGAUGGGAAAACUCUUGGAUACCAGCAUGCUAAAUCUCGCACCUUACAGUAUGUUGUCAGUACUGAUUAAUGGGAAACAUAUUUUGACAAGAGAACUUCAACACUUUCUGUUGCAUUUAAAUACACCUGCUGGAUUUCAGCAGAGAUCAUAUUUUCCACACGCAGAGAAUCUGUCGAUGGGUUUACAGAUGACGUACUCUCCCUUCACUUAGAACAAACAUUUCUUAGAAGAGAUGUUCACACCACGCAGUUCAAAGAGCAAAGUUUUCUUCACUUUUAAAUAGAACAAAUGGUUUGCUCUGAAUGUCAGGCUGCCGCCUGUACAUCCGUGCCUCACUGGUGUGACAUGAGCCCCCAAGGAGGGCAGUUCAGCUAAGCAAAUAAGCUGAAUAUGGGCAGGUUUUACAUAGGACCAGCUUGGACAUUUCUGCACCAUGCUUCCAGAAUGUGUGAAGAGGGAUAGCUUAGCUCAGACAUUUACAUGGAGGUGUGGGAAUGGUGAAAAAGCAGACCAGUGAGGGCAAUGGGAAGGGGGAGAGCAAUUUUAAGAAAAGGCAAAUCCAGACGUGGAGCCCAAAUUUGGUUUGGGAGAAGCCAGGAAGAUCAGACUUCAGAUGUCACCACAAGACCAAAAAGUAUCUCACAGUGUAUCCACAGGUCUCUGCUAAAGGCUAUGAUCUUGUCCGGCACGUCUCGGGAGGAGUUAAGCAGUCAUGGGAGUGAUGCUUCAAUUAUCAAGGACUCGGUUUAAAUCCUGAAACUUCUAGGAGAGGCUAAAAAUACAGGCUGUGCAACAGCAUAUGAUACAGUUAAUUUUUCUCGCCAUCUAAUGUUAACAACAUAUGGAGACCGGCCUGGAUUGCCAAGGACAUAAAUCCAUCCCUGCCUGCUGGCCUGUUCACUGAAUCUCCAUUUUUUAUGAGAACACAUUCCUACAGAGAACUUCACCAAAACACCUGGUGGGGACAGUCCAGAUGGAUGAAUCUCACUGCACAGAAGAAGCUCCUCUCCCUCCUGAAACACAUCUCCCAUCAAUCUCCGCUCCUCAAAAACCAGACCCCCCGUUUCCAUUGAUAAAAGCCAUUUCACUAAUAAACUUGAUUCCUGUUUACAGUUUUAUACAAAUGUCUACAACAUACCGGAUGUUUCUUUAAAAUUGUUUGAUUUGUGGAUGACUUCAGAGCUCAUGACAGCAAGGGACAUUUGUAUCAGCUAGAGCCAAACCAACUGCGGGCAGGUAUUGUGCAAGCUUCCUCACCCUUCUGCCAACUGACCUCAUUCUUGACCUGCAAAUUCUCUGCUAUUCCCUUCCCAUGCCAAACUAUGCAGUGGUUUUGAGAUGCACAC
ensembl:lncRNA